UUGAACAUCUACAAAUUGCUCAUAGCGCGUCACUGCUGCCUCCUGACGUAUUUAGCGCGACGCAUUUGGGUAGUCAGCACGUUAUUGUGAAAUGUUACUGCUGAUGGUUGUAUCACGGUUUUGUUUUGUGAGCAUGGUAUCGCAUGUCAUUCCUAUUGUUGUGACGAAGUGACACGAUUGGCUGACGACCCCACGCGAGGAGUUGAGAACCAUAGUAUGUUUAAAAAAAAAACAGUCAGAUGUAUAGGAUGGCUGCAGACCAGCAGUGGAAGAAAUGAACACGCAAACGUCAGCAGGAGAUAGACUUGACUCUGUUCUAGAAUUGGAUCUCUUGAAGAUAUGUAUGCAUCAUGUCUGCAGGAAACAAGAUAUUACUCAGAAGGCAUAGCUUUUUGUAACUGUUUGUUAUGAUGAACUGUUUCGGCCUGCAAAUAUAUAUAUUUUUUUCAUACCACUCAACUUUUUUGCUGAAACUUUCUGGAGAAAAAAAAAUAAAGACGUAAAAAUCCA